AUGCACGGGACGCCAGCCAUUUUUGCUGGAACCCCAAAUCAUUUUGCUUCAACCAAGUACCGGAGGUUUUCUUGCUUUAGAUUUUUGCUGGAACCAGCAAAUCCUUUUGUUUCAACCAAGUACCGGCGGUUUUGUUACUUUAGAUUUUGUUUUGCUGGGCAUGGCGGUGCAAGUCGAUGGAGGAGAGCCGGAGACAGGGAAGCCAGGGAAGUUGCAACCAUGGUGACUAGACGUUGGAACCUGACUGUAUUGGAGCUGCAACCAUCGCGAGCGGAGGUAGCCAAGGCGAGCGUAAUCGCAUGGCGAGCGGAGCGGCCGGUGAGCGCACGUGAAGUCCAGCAUGUGCGCAACUACCUUUUCCACGUGCUUCUAUCCGUCCAUGUGUAUGAUGACGCGGUGGGUGAGGACGAAGACCUUGCAGCUGUUGAAUGGGACCCUUUCAACCCUCAUAUGGAAGAAGGUGAAGUGGAGAGGACCAGCCCAGGUAGUAUUGUAGAUAUUGACCACCACACCAUGGAGAACACAUUCAGGGGAGUGACAAAGACCAAGGAAUGCUUUAGGAGGGUUUUUGUUUGCUUUGAGGCUUGUCGCUGGGGUUUUUUGGCAGGCUGCAGGCUUAUUUGGCUAUCGAUGCUACUUUUCUCACAGGGAGAUCCAGCGUUCGGAGAGUGUUUCAAUGAAGGCUUUGAUGGAAAUGUUGGUCAGCAGCCGGUUACCACAACAGAUGAUGAAAAUUAUGGUCAACAGCCGAUUGCAUCAGAUGAGGAUUUUGACGAGGUUCCAAAUGAUGAUGGUCAACAGCCGCAUAAUUUUGAUGAUGAUCCAAAAUAUCCUCCAAAUGGUGAUCCAAGUGAGGCUCCAAAUGGUGAUCCAUGUGAGGCUCCAAAUGGUGACCAACCUUCUGUCAUUCUCUGCGGUAGGUUUGAAGAACUCGCGCAAGGUACCAACAACCAAGAGGAGAAGAGAAGAAGCAAUGAGUACAAGGUGCGCGAGGAGCAAAGUGAUGGCAAGAAGCUCAAGGAUCAAACAGAAGCCCCAAUGCUAUUUUUGAAUAAUUAUGAAACAUUAUGA
rnacentral:rRNA from 1 species